rnacentral:rRNA from 1 species
GAUGAACGCUGGCGGUGUGCCUAAUACAUGCAAGUCGAGCGAACAGACGAGGAGCUUACUCCUCUGACGUUAGCGGCGGAAGGGUGAGUAACACGUGGAAAACCUACCUAUAAGACUGGGACAACUUCGGGAAACCGGAGCUAAUACCGGAUAACAUGUUGAACCGCAUGGUCAAACAGUGAAAGACGGUCUUGCUGUCACUUAUAGAUGGAUCCGCGUCGCAUUAGCUAGUUGGUAAGGUAACGGCUUACCAAGGCAACGAUGCGUAGCCGACCGGAGAGGGUGAUCGGCCACACUGGAACUGAGACACGGUCCAGACUCCUGCGGGAGGCAGCAGUAGGGAAUCUUCCGCAAUGGGCGAAAGCCUGACGGAGCAACGCCGCGUGAGUGAAGAAGGUCUUCGGAUCGUAAAACUCUGUUAUUAGGGAAGAACAAAUGUGUAAGUAACUAUGCACGUCUUGACGGUACCUAAUCAGAAAGCCACGGCUAACUACGUG